GACGAACGCUGGCGGCGUGCUUAACACAUGCAAGUCGAACGGAGAUGUUAGCAAUAACAUCUUAGUGGCGGACGGGUGAGUAACGCGUGGGCAACUUGCCUCUAACUGGGGGAUAACACAGGGAAACUUGUGCUAAUACCGCAUAAUAUCACUGGGUGGCAGCAUUCGGUGAUCAAAGGAGUAAUCCGGUGAGAGAUGGGCUCGCGUCCGAUUAGCUAGUUGGUGGUGUAACGGACCACCAAGGCGACGAUCGGUAGCCGAACUGAGAGGUUGAUCGGCCACAUUGGGACUGAGACACGGCCCAGACUCCUACGGGAGGCAGCAGUGGGGAAUAUUGCACAAUGGGGGAAACCCUGAUGCAGCAACGCCGCGUGAAGGAUGAAGGUUUUCGGAUUGUAAACUUCUUUGAUGAGGGACGAAUAAUGACGGUACCUCAAAAACAAGCCACGGCUAACUACGUGCCAGCAGCCGCCGUAA
rnacentral:rRNA from 1 species